AGAAAACUGGGAAUUGUUCCUGUUCCUGCUGUUCCUUAACGGAAUGCUUUCAGAGCUGAUUAAUUGUAUUUAUUUUUCUGGUUUAGCUAGUGGUAGAAUAGUAUUACAAUAGAAAUUUGGAAUACUAGUAUUUUGUUUUAAGGUUUACAAUUUUGAUUUUGAAAUAGAAAGAAAGUUUUGUUGGAAGGAAGCUUUAAUAGGUGGAGAAAGUGUUUAAGUAUUUGAGAGAGGAUAUGAAACUUGUUGGAAAGGAAUGCUACUUAUAUUAUUGAGUGUUUGUAAUUUUUGGCUUGAUACAAACUCAAGUUCAUCACCUCUAUUUAUACUAGUGGCAUCCCUAAAUCAAUGACUAGGAUUUUGCUACCACAAAGUUGAUCUAAUGGCUAUAAACUACUCUCUAGAAUUUUCCCUACCAUUCUACAUAAAUCUUAACUUAUCCUUAUUUUCUAGAGAGCUCCAUGGAUUUCUCUAGAAUAGGCUUCUAGAAAUUGGACUUUCUACAUCACUAAUUUGGGCUUAAAACUCCCAAGGCCCAAAACUAACAAACCCAAAAUCAAUUUAUAUAUUCAACAAGUUUAUGGUGCUGAUCAAUAGCUAUAACUCUGCUCCAUCUGUUUUUACCAAAGCUCUGCAGAACAACAUUUGCCAUGAUUGUCUUCGUAUUCUACUAUUUGUGUUAAUAUUUCUUUUUGUAACACGGUUUCAAUCA
rnacentral:lncRNA from 1 species